AGAGUUUGAUCCUGGCUCAGGAUGAACGCUGGCGGUCUGCUUAACACAUGCAAGUCGAACGGAGUGCUUCGGCACUUAGUGGCGGACGGGUGAGUAACGCGUGAGAAUCUGCCCUUAGGAUGGGGACAACAGUUGGAAACGACUGCUAAUACCCAAUAUGCCGGAAGGUGAAACUUAUAUGGCCUGAGGAAGAGCUCGCGUCUGAUUAGCUAGUUGGUAGUGUAAUGGACUACCAAGGCGACGAUCAGUAGCUGGUCUGAGAGGAUGAUCAGCCACACUGGGACUGAGACACGGCCCAGACUCCUACGGGAGGCAGCAGUGGGGAAUUUUCCGCAAUGGGCGCAAGCCUGACGGAGCAAGACCGCGUGAGGGAGGAAGGCCUACUGGUUGUAAACCUCUUUUGAUAGGGAAGAACACAAUGACGGUACCUAUCGAAUCAGCCUCGGCUAACUCCGUGCCAGCAGCCGCGGUAAUACGGAGGAGGCAAGCGUUAUCCGGAAUUAUUGGGCGUAAAGCGUCCGUAGGUGGUUAUCCAAGUCAGUUGUUAAAGCGUAGAGCUUAACUCUAUAAGGGCAAUUGAAACUGGGUGGCUAGAGUGCGAUAGGGGCAAGGGGAAUUCCCAGUGUAGCGGUGAAAUGCGUAGAUAUUGGGAAGAACAUCGGUGGCGAAAGCGCCUUGCUGGGUCUGCACUGACACUGAG
rnacentral:rRNA from 1 species